rnacentral:sRNA from 1 species
UAGCAAGAAUAAUCUUAACACUAACCUGCAUAUUUUUGAGGUUAGGUAAUUCAGGUAUCCAGGAAGUUGGCUCUUCAAGUAGACAAAAUGGUGCCCUGAAUCUGUUUUCCUCAAGGUUCAUAUAUAAAUUUUUGAGUUUUUGUUUUUUAACUAAUCUGCCUAAAAUUUUCUGGUUCUCAUUUGUUCAUGGAAGGACUUUAGAGAAGUUUUCAAGUAAAGAUAAAGAAUAGAUUCAGAAAAAUAAUAUUAGUGUUGGUUUUGAAACAUAUUGUUAUUUUAUAUGAAGAGACCAAAAAUACACACUUCUGUUUUUCUUCAUCUGAAAGUUAGUGUUCUUACUGUAUAUCUAAAACUAUUUUCUAUGUACCCAGUAUGUCUGGAUUUGGAAUGAACAGGAAUCAGGCAUUUGGAAUGAAUAACUCCUUAUCAAGUAACAUUUUUAAUGGAACAGACGGAAGUGAAAAUGUGACAGGAUUGGACCUUUCAGAUUUCCCAGCAUUAGCAGACCGAAACAGGAGGGAAGGAAGUGGUAACCCAACUCCAUUAAUAAACCCCUUGGCUGGAAGAGCUCCUUAUGUUGGAAUGGUAACAAAACCAGCAAAUGAACAAUCCCAGGACUUCUCAAUACACAAUGAAGAUUUUCCAGCAUUACCAGGCUCCAGCUAUAAAGAUCCAACAUCAAGUAAUGAUGACAGUAAAUCUAAUUUGAAUACAUCUGGCAAGACAACUUCAAGUACAGAUGGACCCAAAUUCCCUGGAGAUAAAAGUUCAACAACACAAAAUAAUAACCAGCAGAAAAAAGGGAUCCAGGUGUUACCUGAUGGUCGGGUUACUAACAUUCCUC